CAGAAAGUAAUUUAUUUAAAAUAUAAACUUUGGGAGUUUAAAAUGAUUGUAUUAUCUUUUCUGA
rnacentral:tRNA from 1 species